rnacentral:rRNA from 1 species
UACGAAGGGGGCUAGCGUUGCUCGGAAUCACUGGGCGUAAAGCGCACGUAGGCGGGUCUUUAAGUCAGGGGUGAAAUCCCGGAGCUCAACUCCGGAACUGCCUUUGAUACUGGCGACCUUGAGUCCGGGAGAGGUGAGUGGAACUGCGAGUGUAGAGGUGAAAUUCGUAGAUAUUCGCAAGAACACCAGUGGCGAAGGCGGUUCACUGGCCCGGUACUGACGCUGAGGUGCGAAAGCGUGGGGAGCAAACAGGAUUAGAAA